UUCUUCGGGUAGAGCACAAGAGAGGAAUGAAUGCACAUUAAAAGGAAAUUCCAUCCCAAAACAAUAGCCUACAAGCAGAAGAAUGAAAGGGACCAAAAAAAACAACAGCACCCAGGCAGGCUGUUUCAGCAUGAAUGCCGUAAUGUCAUCUAUUUGUAACAGAGCACAUUGUCAGAAAACCCUGACACACAGCUAACUUGGCUUUAUUCUACACAGUACACUUUCACAGUUGUUACUGGAUUAAAAUGUGACUGGCCUGACAAUGAAACAGCAGAACCACCGUGUAUUGUUAUGCAAUUCACUGUCUGCAAGGGUGACUUGUAGCUUGUUCUUUAUUCAGCAAGUGCCAACUGCAUGUUUAAUCAAUGUCACCACUCACUACAGCAUGCAACUGAAGCCACUGUCAUUCCACUCCUCAGAUUUGACUGGCUGCUAAGUUAUGCAAUGCUCCGAAGAAUGCCUUGGAAUUAUUUGUUAGAUGCUUUGAAUGCAGGUGUGCAACACUCCUAACCCCAGAGCAAACAAGAAACUUCCUUCCUUCUGGACAAAAAUGUAAACAGACUAAUAUCUGCUACAUUUGGAUUUACAACUCAGCUACACGAGAGAAACAUAUCCAGAGAGUUACCCACAUCGAGAAGAUGUCAAACGACCAUUCCAUUGGAAUGUCUUGGGGAACAGCUACAUAUACAGGACAAGAAGUGGGAGAUUAAAUUUUAACUGGAGCCUUAAUGCUAUAAUCACUGUUUGCACAGAAAAUGUUUCAUCUUAUGGAAGAAUUCAAUAUUUAAACAGGGAAGAAACAUGCAACCUGGAUAUGCAGAGCAGAGGUUUCUUUACUAACAACGCAUCGUUUCAGUGGAUAACCAAAAUAAUGCCUACAUUUCUCGGAAGAUUUUGUAAUAUUAUCGCAUCCACAGAUUAAUCUAUCAAGAAAUUGUUCAUGCAUGCAUAUAAUUUCUGCUUUGAGUGAAAAGAACAGCCCUCCAUGAAGAUAAGGCUGUUUCUCCACUGCAGUGAGGAGUAAGCAGCAUGUCUGAUGAGAUUUUAUUCCUGAUGCAAUGUAGGCCAGCUGUAGGAACACUGGUGAAGACAUUUGCAGGAAAAAUGAGGAGCUCUGCCAUCACAACACUAGAAGAUGUAAAAAGGCAAGAAGAGAGUGAGGAAAAGGAGGAAUCUGUUUUAGCUCUGCUGGGAAUCAUCGGAACAGUGCUUAAUCUAUUUGUAAUUGUUUUCGUUUACAUCUACACAACACUUUGACCGUUUUCUAGCAACUCGGAGGAGCAGCACAUAGCGCGAAAAGACCAGCAAUGGCAAGCAAGGUUGGUGAACACUACCCAACAGGAAACAGAAUCUAUCAAACACAUUCCAGUGAGAAGUGCCUAUUUAGAGGCACAAGACCAGUGACUGCAAAGCACGUCUGUGAACCCAGUUAAGACAAUUAAAUUAUAGAAAUGACAGAUAUUCAACUUCUCACUGAUGACUGCGGAAGCUCAAAUACUGGAGAUGCAUAUGGCAUUCUACUGCCAAUGAAUAUGCAAGGCAUAUAUAAGCAGGUAAAAAAUAAAAAAAGAUAAUGGUGCCAUAAAACCCUCCUACAAGAUGUUUUAUUUACUUGACCCAAUUAUGCUUUUGGAUAUGUGACUAUGUACCUCUGUGUAGGUGGACAACCAGGGUGGGAGGAGUCCAGUUCGUUUUAAAACUAUCAUUAUGUGCUAAAAUUUACACAACUAUAUAUGAAGUGUAGAAAAAAGAGCACUGUAAAGUACUGUAUUAUGAGUAAAUAAAAUUUUAAAUGACUAUUCUUCA